rnacentral:rRNA from 1 species
ACUAAGCGUACACGGUGGAUGCCCUGGCAGUCAGAGGCGAUGAAGGACGUGCUAAUCUGCGAUAAGCGUCGGUAAGGUGAUAUGAACCGUUAUAACCGGCGAUUUCCGAAUGGGGAAACCCAGUGUGUUUCGACACACUAUCAUUAACUGAAUCCAUAGGUUAAUGAGGCGAACCGGGGGAACUGAAACAUCUAAGUACCCCGAGGAAAAGAAAUCAACCGAGAUUCCCCCAGUAGCGGCGAGCGAACGGGGAGGAGCCCAGAGCCUGAAUCAGUGUGUGUGUUAGUGGAAGCGUCUGGAAAGGCGCGCGAUACAGGGUGACAGCCCCGUACACAAAAAUGCACAUACUGUGAGCUCGAUGAGUAGGGCGGGACACGUGGUAUCCUGUCUGAAUAUGGGGGGACCAUCCUCCAAGGCUAAAUACUCCUGACUGACCGAUAGUGAACCAGUACCGUGAGGGAAAGGCGAAAAGAACCCCGGCGAGGGGAGUGAAAAAGAACCUGAAACCGUGUACGUACAAGCAGUGGGAGCCUCUUUUAUGGGGUGACUGCGUACCUUUUGUAUAAUGGGUCAGCGACUUAUAUUCUGUAGCAAGGUUAACCGAAUAGGGGAGCCGAAGGGAAACCGAGUCUUAACUGGGCGUUAAGUUGCAGGGUAUAGACCCGAAACCCGGUGAUCUAGCCAUGGGCAGGUUGAAGGUUGGGUAACACUAACUGGAGGACCGAACCGACUAAUGUUGAAAAAUUAGCGGAUGACUUGUGGCUGGGGGUGAAAGGCCAAUCAAACCGGGAGAUAGCUGGUUCUCCCCGAAAGCUAUUUAGGUAGCGCCUCGUGAAUUCAUCUCCGGGGGUAGAGCACUGUUUCGGCAAGGGGGUCAUCCCGACUUACCAACCCGAUGCAAACUGCGAAUACCGGAGAAUGUUAUCACGGGAGACACACGGCGGGUGCUAACGUCCGUCGUGAAGAGGGAAACAACCCAGACCGCCAGCUAAGGUCCCAAAGUCAUGGUUAAGUGGGAAACGAUGUGGGAAGGCCCAGACAGCCAGGAUGUUGGCUUAGAAGCAGCCAUCAUUUAAAGAAAGCGUAAUAGCUCACUGGUCGAGUCGGCCUGCGCGGAAGAUGUAACGGGGCUAAACCAUGCACCGAAGCUGCGGCAGCGACACUAUGUGUUGUUGGGUAGGGGAGCGUUCUGUAAGCCUGUGAAGGUGUACUGUGAGGUAUGCUGGAGGUAUCAGAAGUGCGAAUGCUGACAUAAGUAACGAUAAAGCGGGUGAAAAGCCCGCUCGCCGGAAGACCAAGGGUUCCUGUCCAACGUUAAUCGGGGCAGGGUGAGUCGACCCCUAAGGCGAGGCCGAAAGGCGUAGUCGAUGGGAAACAGGUUAAUAUUCCUGUACUUGGUGUUACUGCGAAGGGGGGACGGAGAAGGCUAUGUUGGCCGGGCGACGGUUGUCCCGGUUUAAGCGUGUAGGCUGGUUUUCCAGGCAAAUCCGGAAAAUCAAGGCUGAGGCGUGAUGACGAGGCACUACGGUGCUGAAGCAACAAAUGCCCUGCUUCCAGGAAAAGCCUCUAAGCAUCAGGUAACAUCAAAUCGUACCCCAAACCGACACAGGUGGUCAGGUAGAGAAUACCAAGGCGCUUGAGAGAACUCGGGUGAAGGAACUAGGCAAAAUGGUGCCGUAACUUCGGGAGAAGGCACGCUGAUAUGUAGGUGAAGUCCCUCGCGGAUGGAGCUGAAAUCAGUCGAAGAUACCAGCUGGCUGCAACUGUUUAUUAAAAACACAGCACUGUGCAAACACGAAAGUGGACGUAUACGGUGUGACGCCUGCCCGGUGCCGGAAGGUUAAUUGAUGGGGUUAGCGCAAGCGAAGCUCUUGAUCGAAGCCCCGGUAAACGGCGGCCGUAACUAUAACGGUCCUAAGGUAGCGAAAUUCCUUGUCGGGUAAGUUCCGACCUGCACGAAUGGCGUAAUGAUGGCCAGGCUGUCUCCACCCGAGACUCAGUGAAAUUGAACUCGCUGUGAAGAUGCAGUGUACCCGCGGCAAGACGGAAAGACCCCGUGAACCUUUACUAUAGCUUGACACUGAACAUUGAGCCUUGAUGUGUAGGAUAGGUGGGAGGCUUAGAAGUGUGGACGCCAGUCUGCAUGGAGCCGACCUUGAAAUACCACCCUUUAAUGUUUGAUGUUCUAACGUUGACCCGUGAUCCGGGUUGCGGACAGUGUCUGGUGGGUAGUUUGACUGGGGCGGUCUCCUCCUAAAGAGUAACGGAGGAGCACGAAGGUUGGCUAAUCCUGGUCGGACAUCAGGAGGUUAGUGCAAUGGCAUAAGCCAGCUUGACUGCGAGCGUGACGGCGCGAGCAGGUGCGAAAGCAGGUCAUAGUGAUCCGGUGGUUCUGAAUGGAAGGGCCAUCGCUCAACGGAUAAAAGGUACUCCGGGGAUAACAGGCUGAUACCGCCCAAGAGUUCAUAUCGACGGCGGUGUUUGGCACCUCGAUGUCGGCUCAUCACAUCCUGGGGCUGAAGUAGGUCCCAAGGGUAUGGCUGUUCGCCAUUUAAAGUGGUACGCGAGCUGGGUUUAGAACGUCGUGAGACAGUUCGGUCCCUAUCUGCCGUGGGCGCUGGAGAAUUGAGGGGGGCUGCUCCUAGUACGAGAGGACCGGAGUGGACGCAUCACUGGUGUUCGGGUUGUCAUGCCAAUGGCACUGCCCGGUAGCUAAAUGCGGAAGAGAUAAGUGCUGAAAGCAUCUAAGCACGAAACUUGCCCCGAGAUGAGUUCUCCCUGACCCUUUAAGGGUCCUGAAGGAACGUUGAAGACGACGACGUUGAUAGGCCGGGUGUGUAAGCGCAGCGAUGCGUUGAGCUAACCGGUACUAAUGAACCGUGAGGCUUAACC